GAUUUGCCAAAUUUGCACGCAAUAACUUUUUAUCUGUUGGUUCAGAAAUAGCUAUACUAGUUUUUUCCUCCGAAGGUUUUAGAGAAUGUGUAGGUAAAAAUGAGGUCAUAGAAAGUUGAAACACGUGCACGUUCAUGUCCUAUGCUUCCAAUGUAACGUUCCAUCAUAUAGCAGCUUAAGCAAUCAUGUGAUCCAAGGCUCCUAGGAGGCUCCUAUGCCCAAUGAAAUUGUCAGAUAAAGAUGAAAGCAAGCAUGACAAUGGUCCCCAAAGCUCACAAUCAUCAUAUAUGUCUACCAAGUAUCUCAAUUUGUCAAUUUGAUCAAGAUAAACCAAAGGGCUUGAGAAUUGUUUCCCAAGGAAACCCUAAUUCAACUGUGCAUUGAUUGUGCCUUGCUCAUGAAGCAACCUCAACCUAUGAUCAAAUAUAAUCAAGGAAA